AGCGAACGCUGGCGGCAUGCUUAACACAUGCAAGUCUCACGGGCAGCAAUGUCAGUGGCGGACGGGUGAGUAACGCGUAGGUAUCUAUCUCUGGGUGGGGGACAACUGUGGGAAACUACGGCUAAUACCGCAUGACACCUGAGGGUCAAAGGCGCAAGUCGCCUGGAGAGGAGCCUGCGUUCGAUUAGCUAGUUGGUGGGGUAAAGGCCUACCAAGGCGAUGAUCGAUAGCUGGUCUGAGAGGAUGAUCAGCCACACUGGGACUGAGACACGGCCCAGACUCCUACGGGAGGCAGCAGUGGGGAAUAUUGGACAAUGGGCGCAAGCCUGAUCCAGCAAUGCCGCGUGUGUGAAGAAGGUUUUCGGAUUGUAAAGCACUUUCGGCGGGGACGAUGAUGACGGUACCCGCAGAAGAAGCCCCGGCUAACUUCGUGCCAGCCGCCGCAGUAAUAC
rnacentral:rRNA from 1 species